GACAGAGGGGGCAAGCGUUGCUCGGAAUUACUGGGCGUAAAGGGCGCGUAGGCGGGAUGGCAAGUCGGUCGUGAAAUCCCUCGGCUCAACUGAGGAUCGUCGAUCGAUACUGCCGUUCUUGAGGAUUGCAGAGGAGACUGGAAUUCCCGGUGUAGCGGUGAAAUGUGUAGAGAUCGGGAGGAACACCGGUGGCGAAGGCGGGCACCUGGGCUAACACUGACGCUGAUGCGCGAAAGCUAGGGGAGCAAACAGG
rnacentral:rRNA from 1 species